rnacentral:rRNA from 1 species
CCUACGGGUGGCUGCAGUGAGGAAUAUUGGUCAAUGGGCGCAAGCCUGAACCAGCCAAGUCGCGUGAGGGAUGACGGUCCUAUGGAUUGUAAACCUCUUUUGUCGGGGAGCAAGGCCCGCCACGUGUGGCGGGAAGGCGAGUACCCGAAGAAAAAGCAUCGGCUAACUCCCGGCCAGCAGCCGCGGUAAUACGGUGGAUGCGAGCGUUAUCCGGCUUUAUUGGGUUUACAGGGUGCGUAGGCGGAAGGUUAAGUCAGCGGUAAAAUGUCGGUGCUCAACACCGGCCUGCCGUUGAAACUGGUCUGCUUGAGUGAGCGAGAAGUAUGCGGAAUGCGUGGUGUAGCGGUGAAAUGCAUAGAUAUCACGCAGAACUCCGAUUGCGAAGGCAGCAUGCCGGAGCGCAACUGACGCUGAGGCACGAAAGCGUGGGGAUCGAACAGGAUUAGAUACCCGUGUAGUC